rnacentral:lncRNA from 1 species
CUGGGAUUGGCUCCUGUUUGUGCUACUUCCUGAAUAAACAAAAACAGAGGAGAACAGCUGGGCAGGUUUUGGCCCAGAGCUGAACUGCAGAAGACGCUGUUAAAAGACACCUUAGUGGGAUUCCACCUUCUCCCACUGUGUGUGUGUCCGGGACAGAGCGUCUGGAUGUAAUCUGCCAUGUGAGGGAGCAGGGGGCAUUACAGUAAGAGAGAAAGUGAAACUCUUAGGAAAUUGUAAAGUUCUUGGGAGGAGUCACAAGAAACAACGACUUCACUGAGAAGGAUGAUGGAGAAAGGAUAUGAGAUUCUCUCAAAUAACACGUAUACUAAUACUGUCAGUGUUAAUAUCACAGCAUCUUGCAGAACUUUGAUGUAUAUGGCGGCGAAUACUGGGCAGCCGAGCAGUCUGGGGAUGGAUGAAGAAGUGUCUGCUAGUGUGACAAACAGCAGACAUCCAGACACACACUCCUCCACUGCAGAUACUGGAGGAACUUUCCUCUUCACCAACAGAUACCCUGCAGACAAAGCAAAGAAGAAAAAUUGA